GUUUGUCGCGUCUGCUGUGAAAUCCCGAGGCUCAACCUCGGGCCUGCAGUGGGUACGGGCAGACUAGAGUGCGGUAGGGGAGAUUGGAAUUCCUGGUGUAGCGGUGGAAUGCGCAGAUAUCAGGAGGAACACCGAUGGCGAAGGCAGAUCUCUGGGCCGUAACUGACGCUGAGGAGCGAAAGGGUGGGGAGCAAACAGGCUUAGAUACCCUGGGUAGUCCACCCCNGUAAACGGUUGGGAACUAGUUGUGGGGUCCUUUCCACGGGAUUCCCGUGACGCAGCUAACGCAUUAAGUUCCCCGCCUGGGGAGUACGGCCCGCAAGGCUAAAACUCAAAGGAAUUGGCGGGGACCCGCACAAGCGCCGGAGCAUGCGGAUUAAUUCGAUGCAACGCGAAGAACCUUACCAAGGCUUGACAUACACGAGAACGGGCCAGAAAUGGUCAACUCUUUUGGACACUCGUGAACAGUUGGUGCAUGGUUGUCGUCAGCUCGUGUCGUGAGAUGUUGGGUUAAGUCCCGCAACGAGCGCAACCCUCGUUCUAUGUUGCCAGCACGUAAUGGUGGGAACUCAUGGGAUACUGCCGGGGUCAACUCGGAGGAAGGUGGGGAUGACGUCAAAUCAUCAUGCCCCUUAUGUCUUGGGCUUCACGCAUGCUACAAUGGCCGGUACAAAGGGCUGCAAUACCGUGAGGUGGAGCGAAUCCCAAAAAGCCGGUCCCAGUUCGGAUUGAGGUCUGCAACUCGACCUCAUGAAGUCGGAGUCGCUAGU
rnacentral:rRNA from 1 species